rnacentral:rRNA from 1 species
AGAGUUUGAUCAUGGCUCAGGAUGAACGCUGGCGGCGUGCUUAACACAUGCAAGUCGAACGAAGCACUUUAUUUGAUUUCUUCGGAAUGAAGAUUUAGUGACUGAGUGGCGGACGGGUGAGUAACGCGUGGGCAACCUGCCUCAUACAGGGGGAUAACAGUUGGAAACGACUGCUAAUACCGCAUAAGCGCACAGUACCGCAUGGUACGGUGUGAAAAACUCCGGUGGUAUGAGAUGGGCCCGCGUCUGAUUAGCCAGUUGGCGGGGUAACGGCCCACCAAAGCGACGAUCGGUAGCCGACCUGAGAGGGUGACCGGCCACAUUGGGACUGAGACACGGCCCAAACUCCUACGGGAGGCAGCAGUGGGGAAUGUUGCACAAUGGGGGAAACCCUGAUGCAGCGACGCCGCGUGAGCGAAGAAGUAUUUCGGUAUGUAAAGCUCAAUCAGCAGGGAAGAAGAAUGACGGUACCUGACUAAGAAGCACCGGCUAAAUACGUGCCAGCAGCCGCGGUAAUACGUAUGGUGCAAGCGUUAUCCGGAUUUACUGGGUGUAAAGGGAGCGCAGGCGGAAGGCUAAGUCUGAUGUGAAAGCCCGGGGCUCAACCCCGGUACUGCAUUGGAAACUGGUCAUCUAGAGUGUCGGAGGGGUAAGUGGAAUUCCUAGUGUAGCGGUGAAAUGCGUAGAUAUUAGGAGGAACACCAGUGGCGAAGGCGGCUUACUGGACGAUUACUGACGCUGAGGCUCGAAAGCGUGGGGAGCAAACAGGAUUAGAUACCCUGGUAGUCCACGCCGUAAAC